GAUGAACGCUGGCGGCGUGCCUAAUACAUGCAAGUCGAGCGAACGGACGAGAAGCUUGCUUCUCUGAUGUUAGCGGCGGACGGGUGAGUAACACGUGGAUAACCUACCUAUAAGACUGGGAUAACUUCGGGAAACCGGAGCUAAUACCGGAUGAUAUUUUGAACCGCAUGGUUCAAAAGUGAAAGACGGUCUUGCUGUCACUUAUAGAUGGAUCCGCGCUGCAUUAGCUAGUUGGUAAGGUAACGGCUUACCAAGGCAACGAUGCAUAGCCGACCUGAGAGGGUGAUCGGCCAAAAUGGAAAUGAGACAAGGUCCAGAAUCCUAAGGGAAGGAACAAGAAGGGAUCUUCCGGAAAGGGCGGAAGGCUGAAGGAGCAACGGCGGGUGAGUGAAGGAAGGUUUCCGAACGGAAAAAUCUGGUAUUAGGGAAAGAAAAAUGUGGAAAGUACUGAGCAAAGCUUGGAGGGACCUAAUCAAGAAAGCACGGCUAACUAAGUG
rnacentral:rRNA from 1 species